AGGGGCAGGUCCAGCGCCACCUCCCCGCCACCACCCGGCUAGGGCCCGCGGCAGGGGCGCUCUGGAAACCUUGCUCCUCAAAAGAACUCACAGAAACACAGAAAGGCCCAGGGGGAGUCUUUUGCUGCUGGAAACAACUCUGCCUGGGACCCAGAAUCCAGAAAUGGUGAGUGGUUUUUCUUCAACCACUGCCCAGGUCCUGUGGCUGGGGAAAGGCUGUGCUGGGUUGCCAGGGGACCCCCUUGCGGCUGCUCCAAGCUAGGGAAAGGGGUGGGCUCUCAGGAAGAUGGGUGAAUAGGGCCACCUGGAAAAUUUAGAUUUCUCC
rnacentral:lncRNA from 12 species